rnacentral:rRNA from 1 species
CCUACGGGAGGCAGCAGUGGGGAAUAUUGCACAAUGGGGGAAACCCUGAUGCAGCGACGCCGCGUGAGCGAAGAAGUAUUUCGGUAUGUAAAGCUCUAUCAGCAGGGAAGAAAAUGACGGUACCUGAGUAAGAAGCUCCGGCUAAAUACGUGCCAGCAGCCGCGGUAAUACGUAUGGAGCAAGCGUUAUCCGGAUUUACUGGGCGUAAAGGGAGCGUAGGCGGGCUGCCAAGUCUGAUGUGAAAUACCGGGGCUCAACCCCGGGACUGCAUUGGAAACUGCCGAACUAGAGUGUCGGAGAGGCAAGUGGAAUUCCUAGUGUAGCGGUGAAAGGCGUAGAUAUUAGGAGGAACACCAGUGGCGAAGGCGGCUUGCUGGACGAUGACUGACGUUGAGGCUCGAAAGCGUGGGGAGCAAACAGGAUUAGAUACCCGGGUAGUC